UGUCAACGUAUACUGACGUGACAAAUCUCUUUACACUUUUAAACUAGCAUGAUAAGUGGACUUACAUAUUUAGCCAUAUAUAAUUAUAUCAUCAAUGCAGUGCCAUGCUAGAAAAAAUGAGAGAAAACAUAAUAUGCCGAUAUUUACUCUUAUAUUGUGAGGGAACCAAUAGGCAGACUGGUAUAUAUAUUGACAUAAGUGGGGCUCACUUGCACGUUUACUUAAGAGUACAGGAAGGCUUACUAUUCCAGCAUAUAUUGG
rnacentral:misc_RNA from 1 species